UUCCGGUUGAUCCCGCCGGACCCGACUGCUAUCAGAGUGGGACUAAGCCAUGCGAGUCAACGUAGCAAUACGUGGCAUACGGCACAGUAACACGUAGUCAACAUGCCCAGGGGACGUGGAUAACCUCGGGAAACUGAGGAUAAACCGCGAUAGGUCAAGAUUUCUGGAAUGGAUCAUGACUUAAACCUAUAUGGCCCCUGGAUUGGACUGCGGCCGAUCAGGCUGUUGGUGAGGUAAUGGCCCACCAAACCUGUAACCGGUACGGGCUCUGAGAGGAGGAGCCCGGAGAUGGGCACUGAGACAAGGGCCCAGGCCCUAUGGGGCGCAGCAGGCGCGAAACCUCUGCAAUAGGCGAAAGCUUGACAGGGUUACUCUGAGUGAUUCCCGCUAAGGGGAUCUUUUGACACCUCUAAAAAUGGUGUAGAAUAAGGGGUGGGCAAGUCUGGUGUCAGCCGCCGCGGUAAUACCAG
rnacentral:rRNA from 1 species